GUGAUUAUCGGUCGAAACCGAUCACCGUCCAUUCCUCUUCUCCUCAAACCCUAUACCCCCACUCCAUUCCUCCUCUCCGUUAGAUGUCUUCCGUUGCUGUUCGCCAUUGACCUUUUGUUGCUGUUCACCGUCGACCAUUUGUUGCUGUUCGCCGUCGGUCAGAUCUGCACGCUCUGAGUCAUUGUCUCCACCUGCUAGUAUAUCUUCCUAAAUAUGAGGAUUGGCAAGAACGUGAAGCUCAACCAAUCGCCCUGGGUUGCGAUUUUCUUCGCCUAAGACUCGCACCAGGUCAAUCCCCCAAUCUUUCUCUCUUGCUUUCUUUCAUUUUCUCUCACAGAUCUGCCAAAAUCCUCUAUCUAUUCCACCGUUUCUUCUCUAGAACAAAAAUACGAUUUUGCUUUAAAAAACUCUAUUAUGCCAAUAACAAAUUGAAUGUAUUUGGUUUUAGAUAAAUGGAUAUAUCAUAUAUGAGCCCAAAAAAAUUGUAGGCGACGCAUCGGUUCCAUGAUAAAUGGAUAUAUCAUAUAUGAGUCAUGGAGAAGUCCAUCAAACAGGACGAACAGCAAAUACUCAUUUGUAUCCCCACCUCGUCUACAAGCCCUAAGAAAUCAAAGAUCAGUCUUUGCAUCCCAGGAUCAGAGGCAACGCCGUCGCCUAUUGCAUCGAGUUCAUGAAGAAGACGGCUUCUGCAAACAAGGAGAACUGCAUCGAGUUCAUCGAUGUGCAGAAAUGACAUUUUUUUUUUUAAGGUUGGGUAUACGGGUUCGACCUGCUUUUAUUUUGUUUGGGUAGCGGAUCGGUUUGGCGCCUUAAGUGGGGACGUUCGGGUCGGUUCAUGCACAAACCCAAUGGUUCCAAGUCGGGGUUGCAGGCCUAGCUCCAGGAAAGGAGAAGAAGGUUGUUGAAGUGUAGAUAGUUUUAGUAGGAAGAGAAAGGGGUAGUUGUAUUGGGAUCUUGGCUCGUGUUGCAGUGAGAAAACUUAAAAUAACGUCCAUUUACAUAUACGCGGUGUUAACGUUGUAUUUCAUAUGCUUGAACAAGGUCCUAAUAAUUCGAAUCGAGAUCUUCACCUGCAAACACAUGAGAGAAAGUGGGUUUGUGGUAGAUUAGUGAACUUCUGAUACUUAAGUUAGUCUCAUGUAUGUAUAAUAAUGACAGGAAAAUAGCAUAAUUCAAAAAGACUUUUUUGUGCUUGGGGGCCGGCUUUUAAACAAAAUUUAUGGGGACAUUUCGUACCCUAUGUCAAGGGGCUCAUGUCAUUCAAAGCAUGCUCCACAUUAUAAUAGAAAAGUGUGGAACCACGAAGGUCAGUUUGCUUCAUCUGUACUUGUAGUACGUCUAUCAAAGGAAAGAGGUGAGUUGAUCGGGGGGAUGUCAACUCAAUAUUUUCGUUCUUAUUGACAUAGGAGACUAGAGAGAAAUUUGAGAAUACAACAAUGCCUUUUACCGAUCACUCAAUGUCAACACAUACGUACAUUGACAAUAUUAAUAUUAUUACGUAUUUAUUUUAGAGUAAUGCUAUACAACACACUUUCAUCCUAUUAAGUUGCUCAUUUAUCACCAUUGGAUGAUAUAGAAAUAUGUAAUAAAUGAUCAUUUAAUGA